rnacentral:tRNA from 1 species
GGAGGAGUGCGAGAGCGGCCGAAUCGGCACGAUUGGAAAUCGUGUGUCUUGCAAGGGACCGUGGGUUCAAAUCCCACCUCCUCCGCCA